rnacentral:rRNA from 1 species
UACGAAGGGGGCUAGCGUUGCUCGGAAUCACUGGGCGUAAAGCGCACGUAGGCGGGCUCUUAAGUCGGUGGUGAAAUCCUGGAGCUCAACUCCAGAACUGCCUCCGAUACUGAGAGUCUAUGAGUCCGGGAGAGGUGAGUGGAACUGCGAGUGUAGAGGUGAAAUUCGUAGAUAUUCGCAAGAACACCAGUGGCGAAGGCGGCUCACUGGCCCGGUACUGACGCUGAGGUGCGAAAGCGUGGGGAGCAAACAGG